CUGAAAUGCUAAAUAGUCACAAGAAUUCAGUGACCUAUGAUGAUGUGCAUAUCAACUUCACUUGGGAAGAGUGGAGCUUGCUGGACCCUUCCCAGAAGAAUCUCUACAAAGAUGUGAUCAUUGAGACCUGCAGGAACCUCACUAUUAUAGGUUGGUGAAUUACAUUUGCAAGGCAUUCUUUUAAGAACAAUGUCAAAGAAACAAUUCCUCAAAAGAGAUCACCAUUAAAAUCAAAACACAAUGAGAGUUAUG